rnacentral:rRNA from 1 species
UACGUAGGGGGCAAGCGUUGUCCGGAUUUAUUGGGCGUAAAGAGCUCGUAGGCGGUCUGUCGCGUCUGCUGUGAAAACCCGGGGCUCAACCCCGGGCUUGCAGUGGAUACGGGCAGACUAGAGUUCGGUAGGGGAGACUGGAAUUCCUGGUGUAGCGGUGAAAUGCGCAGAUAUCAGGAGGAACACCGAUGGCGAAGGCAGGUCACUGGGCCGCAACUGACGCUGAGGCGCGAAAGCGUGGGGAGCAAACAGG